GCUGUGGGGUGAGUUCUGCGGUGUUGUCAUGUCCCGUUGUGUGUGGGGUUGGCGUUGAACUGCCCUACUGUGUGCACGUGUGUGUGUGUACACAAGGUUACAUGAUGUUGGAGCCUAUCUGUUGGCUGACGAGGAGUGCAGUCUGAUCCAGCAGGUUCACGCCAUCAGUAAUGUAGAGGAGUCUAUCUACAUGGAGUCUUCUGUCCAGCCCUAUGGGCCCCAGGCCAGGUAAAACACAGCAUGGAGUCUUCUGUCUAGUCCUAUGGGCCCCAGGCCAGGUAAAACACAGCAUGGAGUCUUCUGUCUAGUCCUAUGGGCCCCAGGCCAGGUAAAACACAGCAUGGAGUCUUCUGUCCAGCCCUAUGGGCCCCAGGCCAGGUAAAACACAACAUGGAGUCUUCUGUCUAGUCCUAUGGGCCCCAGGCCAGGUAAAACACAGCAUGGAGUCUUCUGUCUAGUCCAAUGGGCCACAGGCCAGGUAAAACACAGCAUGGAGUCUUCUGUCUAGUCCAAUGGGCCCCAGGCCAGGUAAAACACAACAUGGAGUCUUCUGUCUAGUCCUAUGGGCCCCAGGCCAGGUAAAACACAGCAUGGAGUCUUCUGUCUAGUCCUAUGGGCCCCAGGCCAGGUAAAACACAGCAUGGAGUCUUCUGUCCAGCCCUAUGGGCCCCAGGCCAGGUAAAACACAGCAUGGAGUCUUCUGUCUAGUCCUAUGGGCCCCAGGCCAGGUAAAACACAGCAUGGAGUCUUCUGUCUAGUCCUAUGGGCCCCAGGCCAGGUAAAACACAGCAUGGAGUCUUCUGUCUAGUCCUAUGGGCCCCAGGCCAGGUAAAACACAGCAUGGAGUCUUCUGUCUAGCCCUAUGGGCCCCAGGCCAGGUAAAACACAGCAUGGAGUCUUCUGUCUAGUCCUAUGGGCCCCAGGCCAGGUAAAACACAGCAUGGAGUCUUCUGUCUAGUCCUAUGGGCCCCAGGCCAGGUAAAACACAGCAUGGAGUCUUCUGUCUAGUCCAAUGGGCCCCAGGCCAGGUAAAACACAGCAUGGAGUCUUCUGUCCAGCCCUAUGGGCCCCAGGCCAGGCACAUGGCUCAGGCAGACCUGAAGAGCUCUACGUUUUGGCUAAGGGCAAGCGUGGGGGCAACCGUGUUUGCAGUCCUGGGCUUCGCUAUGUACAGAGCUAUCCUCAAACAACGAUGAUCAAGACAGACACAGGAUGCAUGAGAUGACCCUUGACCCGCCCCCCACCGCCUAGUCUCUGCCCUUUGACCCCUCACGCCCUCCCUGAAAGAGAACAUGACCUCCAACAUCCCACAGUCCUCUGCUCCCCUUCCCCAAAAAAGAGACAACUACUGAAUGAAACGGAACUUCCAGCCCAUCUGAACCUGAUCCCACAUCCACCCUACCGGAGAAGGAACAAACCGGAGAAACCAUAGAUUGAUUUUAUAUAUUUGAAACAGAGAAAAAAACUUGUCAUCAACUGUUUUUUGUUUUUCUUUGGGGGGAAAAAAUGUCACCACAAACUCACAUUGUAUUUUUUGAACACCAUCUAAUCAAUCUACUGCAGGCAUUCUGGUAUCGUAUGAUCUGGUCUAGUCUUGGGGGUUUUUCUUCUCCAGGUCAGACAGUAGUAGUUGCUGGUUGUUUUUAAAUCUGUGUAGAACCCAGCCUUUUUUCUCAGGUCAGUAUUAUAGCUAGCUGGUUUAGGUCAGUAUUAUAGCUAGCUGGUUUGACCCCAGAGCCCAGGAGAAAGCAAAGAAGGCAGCCGCAUACAACUCACUACAAAAGGGACUGAAAAUAUUUGUUUAUAGGUGUGUGUGUAUAUAUAAAUAUAUAUAUUUGCUCGGGUACUUAGAGAAAUACCCAACUAGAUUACGGCGUGAACAAAGCUUGCCAGGAUCAAAGCAUUCAGUUCUGUAACACCUCAACAGUGAGCCUACAGGAAGAGCUGCAAAGUCAAAGCCAUUUUUAACGUUGAAAAGGUCAUGGGUUUCGUGCACGCGUUUCAAUUGCUAUUAAUUUAUUAACCUGUUUUCUUUGGUUUAUCAGUUUGGAAUGGUUUGUUCAGCAUUGCAUGAAACAGACGCACUUCAAGAGGAUAAUGCAUUCAUUUCCCAUGUGUUUUUGUAUAUCUAGUAUUAUCAAAGCCGUUAUUAAUAAUGACAUCCAUCAUUCACUUACUCUGAAAGACAAAAGACUACAACAUUAUCAUGACUGCUUCUUCCUCGACUUGUUUUAUUUUCCUGUUUUUAAAAUAGCUUUUUUCCUUUCAUAUUAUGGUUUUAUUUGUCUGUUCCACUGUUAUGCCUCCAGAUUCCACUAUGUUAUUAACAGCCAUGCAGUGCACCUCUGACUCCCUCCUUGGACCAUGGAUGGAACUGUUUAUUCUCAUUGACUUUUCCAACAUUUACAAUAAAGAACUGUGUGAUCUGA